rnacentral:sRNA from 2 species
GAUGAGAAGCUUCGACUAAGGUUCGACUCGAGCGAAGCGAGAGAACGUUGCCGCAGGCAACGGCCCGAAGGGCGAGGAGCGAUAGCGACGAGUUAUCCUUCCCCCACCACCA